GGGUCGCUAGCUCAGCUGGUAGAGCACCGGGCUUUUAACCCGUUGGUCAUAGGUUCGAAUCCUAUGCGACCCACCA
rnacentral:tRNA from 5 species